ensembl:lncRNA
GUCAGCAUAUUUUGAUAUUAAAUUCAGAGAUCACACCUCUGCAUUAAUUUUUAAAUUAUACUAACAACCACAGAUUAUGUUGGCAUGUUUUCUUCUAUACUUUCUACCAAAAAAAAGCUUGUCUGAAAUUUGAAGGAAAUAUGCAUAUUUGCAAUUUCUAUAAAAAAGAAUAUUCUUUUUUAUGUAUUUUGCUCAAUAGUGACUUUAAAAAACUAAAGUUAUAUUCUCAGCUGUUUAAAAUCACUAACCUAUGAUAACCACACCUCAGUUUGAAAAAGAUUUUUAAAAAUUAUUCCCUGAGAGUUUCUUUUUAAGGAGCCAUAAGGAGGGAACCCAGUAUGCAAUUCCUUUUUUUAAUCUGGGAAUCAGGGAAUAGUUCCUAAAUAUACAAAAUUUACUGAUACAAUAUUUUUUUCUUCCCUUCAUGUACCAGUUCACACUCAAAUAGAAAGUUUUUUUUGUUUUGUUUUGUUUUGUUUUUUUGGUACCGGAGAUCGAACUCGGGUCCUUGCGCUUUUGCGCAGCAGGUGGCAAAACCACUGAGCUAAAUCCCGGCCCCUAAUAGAAAGUUUUUAAAUAGCCAUUCGGACUUGUUUCAGAAAAAAGAAAAAUCAAGCCUUUUGUGGAGGAUGAAGAAUCUGACUAAUGUACUGUCACAGACAAGUAUAAGUAGUUUUGUUUCAUUUGAAUAGGUAAGCAAAAUAUACUUUAUACCAGUGAAUUACCAACACCUUGACUUGGUUACAGUGCUCAUGUCUGUUUUUUCUGAAGUUAUCCAUUAUGAAGCAGGGUGGAAGUUCAGUAUUUUGACAUUUUAAAAGUUUAGUUAUAUAAUGUCUGCUUCCAGCCAGUGAGAAACAUCUAGCCAUACCUUUCUUAUGCAAGCCAUUCAGUUAUCAGGACUGUGAAUUAACACUGUAUGAAUAAAUUUCUGUACACCUUAUCGUUUGGCCAGAAGGCCACCAAGUGUACUUAUAUGUAAUCCUUAAAUUUUAAAGUAGCUGUAAUUUUUAAAUAUUUCUAAACUUUUCAUAAACCACUAAAAUUAAGCUCUUACUACUUAGUCAAUUAUCCUCAGCUGUAUUCGUACUCAAUUGUCAGUAUGGCACAGAUUACUGUAUUAAAAUACUCUCUCUUUCAGUCUUCAUAUUUACCUUCUGAGGUAAUUUUUUAACUUAAUGUGUUACUACAAAGAUUUGCAGAUCUUUAAUCAAGCACUAUGUUAAUACUGUAAUAUCAAAAUACUAUGUUGCAUUAUUUAAAGUGUUCAAAUUGAAUAGUUUAAAAGGAAGUUUUUAAAUGCUAUAUUGCAUCAUAUAAUUUGCUACUCAUCCACUAUGGCAUUGCAUAUUAGUCUGUUAAUACAUUUAAUGUUGCAUGAGUGAUAUUUUGGUCUGGGUUUCCUCUUAAGAUUUUAGUUUGCCUAAAUUAAGGAAAAAUGUUAUUAACAAUACUACAUUUUUAUUUUGUCCCCCCACCCCCAAUCAGCUGGAAAUCUUAACCUUUUGGAUUUUCUUGGUGUUUUAAUGGGCCCAGAACUGUGGUUUAAUUUUUUAUAUAUGUAUUUUAUUUUUUUGUGGAGUAUAAAUUUGAAAACUGGAUUUGGGACCUAAAAUACUCCUCAGGUUGACAUAUUCAUUAAGUUUUAAAAUAGCUUUAGUUUUCAAAGUAAACUGGAUUUGUGGACCUUAAAGUUCCUGAGUUUAAACUACAAGUUGUAAUGUCAUCACUGGACACGUCAGCGUCACCCUCUCCGAACAGCGCAGUCACUUUAUGAAGGGGCAUCUUAAAGCUGCUGUUAGCAGUGACAUUCAAUAUGGUCCAAUUGCUUUUCUUUUUUAACACGACAAAAAAGAAUAAGGAACAAACACUAUUGCUGCCGAAUGCCAUAACACUGAGUUGUACAAAUUGUGAUUGAGGAAAUGGAAAAGGUUUAUACUUUUUAAAAAAAACAAAAAAAACAAAACUUCAAAUGGAAUAAAUUAUUCACGAAGCC